rnacentral:misc_RNA from 1 species
CCAUCACCACUUACAGAAUUGUCACUAAAAUAAAAAAUAUGUUUGUUACCACUGCAGGCAAAAUUUCACCAACGAAUAAAUGUCCACAAUAAGUCAAUAUAUUCCAUCAUCCAACAAUUAUUAAGAAACACUUUUAAUGGAGUUAUUUAGGUUUGAAAAUGUGUUGAGCUUUGGCUAAUUCAAGUUUGGUUCAUAUAAACCAAGCCCUAAACUUAGGCUUGGG